rnacentral:rRNA from 1 species
GACGAACGCUGGCGGCGUGCCUAAUACAUGCAAGUAGAACGCACAGUUUAUACCGUAGCUUGCUACACCAUAGACUGUGAGUUGCGAACGGGUGAGUAACGCGUAGGUAACCUGCCUGGUAGCGGGGGAUAACUAUUGGAAACGAUAGCUAAUACCGCAUAAUAUUAAUUAUUGCAUGAUAAUUAAUUGAAAGGUGCAAUUGCACCACUACCAGAUGGACCUGCGUUGUAUUAGCUAGUAGGUGAGGUAACGGCUCACCUAGGCGACGAUACAUAGCCGACCUGAGAGGGUGAUCGGCCACACUGGGACUGAGACACGGCCCAGACUCCUACGGGAGGCAGCAGUAGGGAAUCUUCGGCAAUGGACGAAAGUCUGACCGAGCAACGCCGCGUGAGUGAAGAAGGUUUUCGGAUCGUAAAGCUCUGUUGUAGGAGAAGAACGGGUGUGAGAGUGGAAAGUUCACACUGUGACGGUAUCUUACCAGAAAGGGACGGCUAACUACGUG